rnacentral:rRNA from 1 species
GUGUCAGCCGCCGCGGUAAUACGGAGGGUGCGAGCGUUGUCCGGAAUCACUGGGCGUAAAGGGCGCGUAGGCGGCGCGGGUAGUCAACGGUGAAAGCUUGGGGCUCAACCCCGAGUCGGCCGUCGAUACUCCCGUGCUCGAGCACUGUAGAGGCAGGUGGAAUUCCGGGUGUAGCGGUGGAAUGCGUAGAGAUCCGGAAGAACACCGGUGGCGAAGGCGGCCUGCUGGGCAGUAGCUGACGCUGAGGCGCGACAGCGUGGGGAGCAAACAGGAUUAGAUACCCCUGUAGUCC